AUUUUAUGUGUUAUAGAGAAGCUUUGCAAAAUUAUUCUGAAAAUUUGUGGGUCCAAACGGUUGCAGCAAGGAGCAGCUGCUUUGCUCAAGGGGUUUAAGCAAAGUCAGCAGCACAAGCAUUUUCCCAUCCGCCCGUCUCUCUUCCUCGUUCCUGGUUCCGCCGUCGCCGCCGCCGCCGCAUCGAUGGCCGCGGCCGGAGCCACGCGGGGGAAGGCUCCGUGGGCUCUUCUCCUCCGCUUCCGCUCCUACGCCCGCCCCCGCCUCUUCUCCGCCCCGAAACCCUACCACAACCCCACCCCCCCUCUUCCCUGCUUCUUCCGCCUCCUCCCCUCCCGCCCCUUCUCCGCGAAUCCCAAUCCCGUGAUGGGCGACCGCGUCGUCCAGGAGCUCCUCGCCGAGGCCGAGCGGGAGCGGCAGCGGGAGCGCGAGGAGAGGCGGAAGGCCGGGGUCGACGUCGCCGACGACGACGACGAAGAGGAGGAGGAUUACAUGGGAGUGGGCCCGCUCAUCGAGAAGCUGGAGAAGAAGCGGGCGAGGGAGGCCGACAGCGCCUUCGACAUGUUCUGGGAGCCCACGGAUUCCGACAGCGACGAAGACGACGAGCGCUUCUCCCCCGACGAGAUCAAGAAGCGCCUCGACGAGUUCGACAGGAAAUGCAAGCGCCACUCCGAGCUCCUCAAGAACUUCGCCGAGGCUGAAACUCUUGAUGAAGCUCACAAAUGGAUGACUAAAAUUGACAAAUUCGAGCAGCGACAUUUGAAGCUUCCACUGGAAUAUAGGGUCAUAGGUGAUAUGAUGAAUCGCCUAAAAGAGUCUACAGGAAAAGAAAGGUUUAUUCUUCUUCAGAAGCUAAAUCGAGCUGUGAGGCUGAUGGAAUGCAAAGAAGCAUAUGACCCCACUAAUCCUGCGAAUUUUGGAGUAAUUCAGCACCAACAAGUUGGUUCUCCUGAUGAUCUGGUAGAUAAUGCUGGAUUCGAGAAGGAGAAGCAAAUGAUCCAAGGGGCAAGACUAGAGGAAGAUGAUGAGGAUUUCAGUGAAGCAAAAGAGAGAGAUGACGCGCUGAUAGAGAAACUCAAUGCUAUAGAAAAGAAACUUGAGGAGAAAUUAGCAGAGUUGGAUCAUACAUUUGGCAAGAAGGGCAGAGCUUUGGAAGAAGAGAUCAAGGAUCUGGUAGAGGAGCGAAAUUCUUUGACGGACAAAAAGAGAAGACCUCUCUACCGGAAAGGCUUUGAUGUUAAAGUUAUUGAUGUUAAUCGAACAUGUAAAGUUACAAAGGGGGGACAAGUGGCCAAGUACACUGCAUUGUUAGCUACUGGAAACUACCAUGGAGUAGUAGGUUUUGCUAAAGCUAAAGGUCCAACUGCAAAGAUUGCUAUUCAAAGGGCAUAUGAGAAAUGUUUCCAGAACCUUCACUACAUCGAGCGAUAUGAAGAUCACACAAUCGCGCAUGCAAUCCAUACCAAAUAUGAGAAAACUAAGAUAUAUUUGUGGCCUGGACCAAUGGGAAGUGGGAUAUCAGCAGCUGGUAGAACUGUUGAAACUGUACUGUAUUUGGCUGGUUUCAGCAAUGUCAAGUCAAAGAUCAUUGGCUCAAGGAACCCACUUAAUGUUAUAAAAGCACUCUUCAAAGCGCUGAAUGCUAUUGAAACACCGAAGGAUGUCCAGGAGAAGUUUGGACGAACUGUUGUUGAGUCGUACUUGAUGUAGUGCUACCACAUAUGAACUCUCAGCUACGACCUUGCUGGGGAAAAAUUGCACAAAGUGUCCCCAACCUUUUAUGAGGAAACGAUAUAUAUACGAAGGGAAGGGAGCAAAUUGUAAACACUAAAUGGUUGAGGACCAAAUUGAAACUAAACGAACCUGAAAAUAAUUGCCCUUUGUCUUUCCUUUUAACCUCAUUGCCGAUCAACGCAGCAGCAAACCCUCAUAAAAGGCGGAGCCAAAGGCCUCUGGAUACUUUUUGGGCUUCAUGUUCUUUUCUUCCCUAUCUGCAGUUGUAACUAAAGAUACUAAAUUAUGUAGUAGUUUCAUUGUUGUGUUUUUAUUAGUAUGAGCAUACACAUUAUUUUGUUGGUUGGCAUCUUCAGCUGGUUGAAAGAGGAUUGCAGUUGGUUUAAUAGCGGCAAACCGUUCUGAGAACGCGAUUUUUCUACAAUAGAAAAGCUUUUGUUCCAUA